rnacentral:rRNA from 1 species
UACGUAGGGGGCAAGCGUUGUCCGGAAUCAUUGGGCGUAAAGCGCGCGUAGGUGGCCCGGUAAGUCCGCUGUAAAAGUCCAGGGCUCAACCCUGGAAAGCCGGUGGAUACUGUCGGGCUCGAGUCCGGAAGAGGCGAGUGGAAUUCCUGGUGUAGCGGUGGAAUGCGCAGAUAUCGGGAAGAACACCUGUGGCGAAGGCGGCUCUCUGGGACGGUACUGACGCUGAGACGCGAAAGCGUGGGGAGCAAACAGG